CGGACGGGUGAGUAACGCGUGGGUAACCUGCCUCAUACAGGGGGAUAACAGUUAGAAAUGGCUGCUAAUACCGCAUAAGACCACAGUACUGCAUGGUACAGUGGUAAAAACUCCGGUGGUAUGAGAUGGACCCGCGUCUGAUUAGGUAGUUGGUGAGGUAACGGCCUACCAAGCCGACGAUCAGUAGCCGACCUGAGAGGGUGACCGGCCACAUUGGGACUGAGACACGGCCCAG
rnacentral:rRNA from 1 species